rnacentral:tRNA from 1 species
GGUUGUAUAGUGUAGUGGUUAUCACGUCGGAUUCUGAAGUGCGCGAGCGCGGCAGAAUUCUUCCGGAGAUCUUGGUUCGAUUCCGAGUACGACCU